CCUACGGGGGGCUGCAGUGGGGAAUAUUGCACAAUGGGGGAAACCCUGAUGCAGCAACGCCGCGUGGAGGACGAAGGUUUUCGAAUUGUAAACUCCUGUCAUUUGGGAAGAUAAUGACGGUACCAAAUGAGGAAGCCACGGCUAACUACGUGCCAGCAGCCGCGGUAACACGUAGGUGGCAAGCGUUGUCCGGAAUUACUGGGCGUAAAGGGCGUGUAGGCGGCCAUUCAAGUCAGCUGUGAAAUUCCAAGGCUUAACCUUGGGCUUGCAGUUGAAACUGAGUGGCUCGAGUGUCGGAGAGGAAAGCGGAAUUCCUAGUGUAGCGGUGAAAUGCGUAGAUAUUAGGAGGAACACCAGUGGCGAAGGCGGCUUUCUGGACGAUAACUGACGCUGAGGCGCGAAAGCGUGGGGAGCAAACAGGAUUAGAUACCCGAGUAGUC
rnacentral:rRNA from 2 species